GCCGGCGUGUCGGAAUGGCAGACGAUGCAGACUCAAAAUCUGUUGUCCUCACGGGCGUGUGGGUUCAAGUCCCACCGCCGGCACUA
rnacentral:tRNA from 2 species